UACGAAGGGGGCUAGCGUUGCUCGGAAUCACUGGGCGUAAAGGGUGCGUAGGCGGGUCUUUAAGUCAGGGGUGAAAUCCUGGAGCUCAACUCCGGAACUGCCUUUGAUACUGAGGAUCUUGAGUAUGGGAGAGGUGAGUGGAACUGCGAGUGUAGAGGUGAAAUUCGUAGAUAUUCGCAAGAACACCAGUGGCGAAGGCGGCUCACUGGCCCAUUACUGACGCUGAGGCACGAAAGCGUGGGGAGCAACAGG
rnacentral:rRNA from 1 species